AAGAGACAGCAGUAGCCGCGGUAAUACAGAGGGUGCGAGCGUUAAUCGGAUUUACUGGGCGUAAAGCGUGCGUAGGCGGCUUCUUAAGUCGGAUGUGAAAUCCCUGAGCUUAACUUAGGAAUUGCAUUCGAUACUGGGAAGCUAGAGUAUGGGAGAGGAUGGUAGAAUUCCAGGUGUAGCGGUGAAAUGCGUAGAGAUCUGGAGGAAUACCGAUGGCGAAGGCAGCCAUCUGGCCUAAUACUGACGCUGAGGUACGAAAGCAUGGGGAGCAAACAGGAUUAGAUACCCGAGUAGUCCCUGUCUCUUAUAC
rnacentral:rRNA from 1 species